AACGAACGCUGGCGGCGUGGAUUAGGCAUGCAAGUCAAACGCGAAAGAGGGAGCAAUCCCUCAAGUAGAGUGGCGAACGGGUGAGUAACGCGUGAAGAACCUGCCUUCAACAGGGGGAUAACACUCCCAACGGGGUGCUAAUACCGCAUGAGACCACGGGUCCGCAUGGACCUGAGGUCAAAGGUGGCCUCUGCUUGCAAGCUACCGGUUGAAGAUGGCUUCGCGUCCCAUAGCUAGUUGGCGGUGUAAAAGACCACCAAGGCGACGAUGGGUAGCUGGUCUGAGAGGAUGGUCAGCCACACUGGGACUGAGAUACGGCCCAGACUCCUACGGGAGGCAGCAGUCGAGAGGCUUUGGCAAUGGGGAAACCCUGACCAAGCGACGCCGCGUGGAGGAUGAAGGCCCUUGGGUUAGUAACUCCUUUUGUCGGGGAAGAAAUGCGAUCAAGGUAACAAUCUGGUCGUUUGACGGUACCCGGCGAAUAAGCUCCGGCUAACUCCGUGCCAGCCGCCGC
rnacentral:rRNA from 1 species